GAUGAACGCUGGCGGCGUGCCUAAUACAUGCAAGUCGAGCGAACAGACGAGGAGCUUGCUCCUCUGACGUUAGCGGCGGACGGGUGAGUAACACGUGGAUAACCUACCUAUAAGACUGGGAUAACUUCGGGAAACCGGAGCUAAUACCGGAUAAUAUAUUGAACCGCAUGGUUCAAUAGUGAAAGACGGUUUUGCUGUCACUUAUAGAUGGAUCCGCGCCGCAUUAGCUAGUUGGUAAGGUAACGGCUUACCAAGGCAACGAUGCGUAGCCGACCUGAGAGGGUGAUCGGCCACACUGGAACUGAGACACGGUCCAGACUCCUGCGGGAGGCAGCAGUAGGGAAUCUUCCGCAAUGGGCGAAAGCUUGACGGAGCAACGCCGCGUGAGUGAUGAAGGUCUUCGGAUCGUAAAACUCUGUUAUUAGGGAAGAACAAAUGUGUAAGUAACUACGCACGUCUUGACGGUACCUAAUCAGAAAGCCACGGCUAACUACGUG
rnacentral:rRNA from 1 species